ACGAACGCUGGCGGCGUGCUUAACACAUGCAAGUCGCACGGAAAGGCCCUGCUUUUGUGGGGUGCUCGAGUGGCGAACGGGUGAGUAACACGUGAGUAACCUGCCCUUGACUUUGGGAUAACUUCAGGAAACUGGGGCUAAUACCGGAUAGGAGCUCCUGCUGCAUGGUGGGGGUUGGAAAGUUUCGGCGGUUGGGGAUGGACUCGCGGCUUAUCAGCUUGUUGGUGGGGUAGUGGCUUACCAAGGCUUUGACGGGUAGCCGGCCUGAGAGGGUGACCGGCCACAUUGGGACUGAGAUACGGCCUAGACUCCUACGGGAGGCAGCAGUGGGGAAUAUUGCACAAUGGGCGGAAGCCUGAUGCAGCAACGCCGCGUGCGGGAUGACGGCCUUCGGGUUGUAAACCGCUUUCGCCUGUGACGAAGCGUGAGUGACGGUAAUGGGUAAAGAAGCACCGGCUAACUACGUG
rnacentral:rRNA from 1 species